CCUACGGGCGGCAGCAGUGAGGAAUAUUGGUCAAUGGACGAGAGUCUGAACCAGCCAAGUAGCGUGAAGGAUGACCGCCCUAUGGGUUGUAAACUUCUUUUAUAAAGGAAUAAAACGAGGCACGUGUGCCUUUUUGCAUGUACUUUAUGAAUAAGGAUCGGCUAACUCCGUGCCAGCAGCCGCGGUAAUACGGAGGAUCCGAGCGUUAUCCGGAUUUAUUGGGUUUAAAGGGAGCGUAGAUGGGUUGUUAAGUCAGUUGUGAAAGUUUGCGGCUCAACCGUAAAAUUGCAAUUGAUACUGGCAGUCGUGAGUACAGUUGAGGUAGGCGGAAUUCGUGGUGUAGCGGUGAAAUGCUUAGAUAUCACGAAGAACCCCGAUUGCGAAGGCAGCUUACUAAACUGUGACUGACAUUGAUGCUCGAAAGUGUGGGUAUCAAACAGGAUUAGAUACCCUGGUAGUC
rnacentral:rRNA from 1 species